AGCACCAAAAUCAGUAACCAAGCGACUGCUAAACUAGCUUGGCGACUACGCUUGGGUGCUAACAUUAAUUACCGCUAUAAUGCCGUAUAUUAUAUAAAGAGCAUACUAACCCAACCAAUAGCAUGCUUGUGGCCUUGUUUUGAGACAC
rfam:Drosophila grimshawi strain TSC#15287-2541.00 scaffold_15245 genomic scaffold, whole genome shotgun sequence.